AGUGAGUUGUACCUUGUACCAUAGCUUGACAGCUUGUACGUAAUAAUUAGCACUGUACACAUUACUUCGUUUUGAAACGGUAAACAUGGAAUUUGAAUGGACCGAAGAAAUAAUAUUGGACCUAACAGUUGAAGUGAAAAGACCCAAAAAUUA